UAAGUCCUGAUGUGUUCGUUUUUGUACCUAUUCGUUUUGACCGAACAUAUUACCUACGGGAGUUUGGCGUUUUCAUGCCGCAUACAUGCCUUUUUAUAAAGGACGUAUAAAGCUGAAACAGAACACCCACCUGCCAAGUGCGGGUUCAAAACACUAGGAUUUUGCGACGGCAUGAUUGGGGCUUAU
rnacentral:other from 1 species